AGGUAGCCAAGUUUGGUGGUGAGACUUGGCUAGGUCGAUGCAUGGGGCAAAGAUUUGGGAAAUUUUCAAAGUGUGUGUUUUUGAGAUUUGAUGGUUGGAAUGUAGUCUUUAUAUGACCAAAUGGCUACUUUAAAAAUCUUGGUGCAAGAAAUAUUUCGUUUUGGUUUGUUUUAAAGCUAGCCAAGUUUGGAGGUGAGACUUGGCUAGGUCAGUGCAUGGGGCCAAGAUUUGGGAAAUUUUCAAAGUGUUUGUUUUUUAGGUUUGAUGGUUGAAAUGCAGUCUUUAUAUGACCAAAUGGCUACGGUAAAAAUCUUAGUCCAACAAAUUUUUCAUUUUAGUGGCUGUUGAAGUUAUCCAAGUUUGGUGGUGAUACUUGGCUAGGUCGGUGCAUGGGGCCAAGAUUUCGGAAAUUUUCAAAGUGUUUGUUUUUGAAGUUUGAUGGUUGGAAUGCACUCUUUAUAUGACCAAAUGGAUACGGUAAAAAUCUUGGUGCAACAAAUUUUUCAUUUUGGUGGGUUUUCAAGCUAGCCAAGUUUGGUGGUGAGACUUGGCUAGGUCGGUGCAUGAGGCCAAAAUUAUAUGACCAAAUGUAUACAGUAAAAAUUUUGGCGCAAAAAAUUUUUCAUUUUGGUUUGUUUUAAAGCUAGCCAAGUUUGGUGGUGAGACUCGGCUAGGUCGUGCGUGGGGCCAAGAUUUGGAAAAUUUUCAAAGUGUUUGUUUUUGAAGUUUGAUUGUUGGAAUGCACUCUUUAUAUGACCAAAUAGCUACUGUAAAAAUCAUGGUGCAAAAAAUUUUUCAUUUUGGUGAGAUUUCAAGCUAGCGAAGUUUGGUGGUGAAACUUGGCGAGGUCGGUGCAUGGGGCCAAAAUUUAGUAAAUUCUCAAAGUGUUUGUUUUUUAGGUUUGAUUGUUGGAAUGAAAUCUUUAUAUGAACAAAUGGCUACGGUAUAAAUCUUGGUGCAAAAAAUUUUUCAUUUUGGUGAGAUUUCAAGCUAGCCAAAUUGGGUGGUGAGACCUGGCUUAGUCGGUGCAUGGGAACAAGAUUUGGGAAAUUUUCAAAGUGUUUGUUUUUGAGGUUUGAUUGUUGGAAUGCACUCUUUAUAUGACCAAAUGG
rnacentral:lncRNA from 1 species